AUUUUACAUUGACAUUUUAUGAUAACUAGUCUUAACAUUUUCAUGUGCUAUUUAUUAUCCAUAUAAAAAUAGUAGUAAUAAUAAAUAAACAUUUUUAAUAUAUAAAUAAAUAUUUUGAAGGGAUAAAUACUGUGAUAAUUCAUAGAUAUUCAAAUUCUGUUUCUGAUUCUGCGAAAAAGUUUUGGAAGAUGAAAUGGAUUAUCAACAGACCGGUGUAUCGCUGAGAUCGAGCUUGACGUUUGGAGAGACGCUGUGUGCGGUGUUCAUUCCGCUCAUAGGACUUGUUGAAGCUUUGGUUUUCAGCUUAACCGGUUGCUUCGAUUUCCAUUCUCCGGCGAAGAAGAAGAAACCCUCUUCUACUACCUUCGAUGACAUUCUUGCCCUCGCCAAGGAUUCUCAGUUUACUGUUAAUGAAAUUGAGGCUUUGCACGAGUUGUUCAAGAAGUUGAGUAGCUCAAUCAUUGACGAUGGCCUCAUCCACAAGGAAGAACUCACAUUGGCACUGUUUAAGACCACUACUGGGGAGAAUCUUUUCCUUGACAGGGUGUUUGAUGUUUUCGAUGAAAAAAGAAAUGGUGUUAUAGAAUUUGAGGAGUUUGUGCAUGCUCUCAAUAUCUUUCAUCCUUGUACUCCUCUGGAAAAGAAAAUUGACUUUUCUUUUAGAAUGUAUGACUUGAGACAGACCGGAUAUAUUGAGCGAGAAGAAGUGAGUAUCUUGGCAUGUCCAGGUUAGGCAAAUGGUUGUUGCCAUUUUGUCAGAAUGUGGCAUUGAUCUGGAUGAUGAAACCCUUGAAACCAUUAUUAAUAAGACAUUUCAAGACGCCGAUGCUGAUAAAGAUGAUAAAAUAAGCAAAGAAGAAUGGAAGGCAUUUGUCACUCGAAACCCAACACUCUUGAAGCACAUGACUCUUCCUCAUCUGGCGGACAUCAGCACACUGUUUACCAGUUUCAUUUUCAACACCGGAGUUGAUGAUUCUCACUGGCAACCAUAAACAGUGAGGAGUGGAAGCUUGUUUUGUGGCACCAUGUUGCUGUUCUGAGAAGUAGAUUCCAGUCUCUCAAUAUGCUGUUGAAGGAGAGAAUAGUGGAAGAGGAUGAACACAAAAGAGGGUUGAAAAUCUGAUACAUGAUUGCUUCUUGUACACCUCAUUUUUGAGCUGUGUACAAAAUUUAUUUGUACGGGAAAAUAUGUGAAGAAAUGUAUUUUAUUUAUUGAAAUUUGAGCUAAGCUUGGUUUUAAUCUUCCAUAUAUUUUUUUUAAACUCA